CUCAAGAAAUCUUUGCCCAGUCCAAUGUCCUGGAGAAUUUUUUUCCCAAUGUUUUCUUGGAAUAGUGUCAUAGUUUCAGGUCUGAGAUUUAAGUCUUUAACAUGCUUUGAUUUGAUUGUUGCGUAUGGCAAGAGAUAGGGGUCUAGUUUCAUUCUUCUGCAUAUGGGUGUCUACUUUUCCCAGCACUGUUUAUUGAAGAGACUGUUUUUUCCUCAAUGUAUGUUCUUAGCACCUUUGUAAGAAAUGAUUUCACUGUAGAUGUACAGAUUUUUUUCUGGGAAUU